CAGUAGCCGCGGUAAUACGAAGGGGGCUAGUGUUGUUCGGAUUUACUGGACGUAAAGGGCGCGUAGGCGGACUGAUAAGUCAGGGGUGAAAUCCCAAGGCUCAACCUUGGAACUGCCUUUGAUACUGUUUGUCUUGAGUUCGAGAGAGGUAAGUGGAACUGCGAGUGUAGAGGUGAAAUUCGUAGAUAUUCGCAAGAACACCAGUGGCGAAGGCGGCUUACUGGCUCGAAGCUGACGCUGAGGCGCGAAAGCGUGGGGAGCAAACAGGAUUAGAGACCCCCGUAGUCCCUGUCUCUUAUAC
rnacentral:rRNA from 1 species